GGACAGAUGGCCGAGCGGUCUAAGGCGCUACGUUCAGGUGCAGUUUCGACUCCUCCCGAUUCGUAGUCUCGCAAGAGGCGUGGGUUCGAAUCCCACUCUGUUCA